GCGAACGUGGCGGAACUGGCAGACGCACUGGAUUUAGGUUCCAGCGGAUAAAACCGUGUGGGUUCGAGUCCCACCGUUCGCACCA
rnacentral:tRNA from 1 species